AUGAACGCUGGCGGCGUGCCUAAUACAUGCAAGUCGAGCGAACAGACGAGGAGCUUGCUCCUCUGACGUUAGCGGCGGACGGGUGAGUAACACGUGGAUAACCUACCUAUAAGACUGGGAUAACUUCGGGAAACCGGAGCUAAUACCGGAUAAUAUAUUGAACCGCAUGGUUCAAUAGUGAAAGACGGUUUUGCUGUCACUUAUAGAUGGAUCCGCGCCGCAUUAGCUAGUUGGUAAGGUAACGGCUUACCAAGGCAACGAUGCGUAGCCGACCUGAGAGGGUGUUCGGCCCCCCGGGACCUGAGACACGGUCCAGACUCCUACGGGAGGCAGCAGUAGGGAUUCUUCCGCAAUGGGCGAAAGCCUGACGGAGCAACGCCGCGUGGGUGAUGAAGGUCUUCGGUUCGUAAAACUCUGUUAUUAGGGAAGAACAAAUGUGUAGUAACUAUGCACGUCUUGACGGUACCUAAUCAGAAAGCCACGGCUAACUACGUG
rnacentral:rRNA from 1 species